UACGUAGGGCGCAAGCGUUGUCCGGAAUUAUUGGGCGUAAAGAGCUCGUAGGCGGACUGUCACGUCCGCUGUGAAAAGCUAGGGCUUAACCCUGGCCUUGCAGUGGAUACGGGCAGACUAGAGGUAGGUAGGGGAGAAUGGAAUUCCCGGUGUAGCGGUGAAAUGCGCAGAUAUCAGGAGGAACACCGAUGGCGAAGGCAGGUCUCUGGGCCGAUACUGACGCUGAGGAGCGAAAGCGUGGGGAGCGAACAGG
rnacentral:rRNA from 1 species